GCAACUGGAAAGAGAAGCAAUGAGCCGUCGCCGAGACUGCGAAAAUAAAUUCAGAGCUCAUGUUCUGCUGACAUUGGAUUAGCAACUGCAAGGUCUCCUGGGGACACAGCAUGACGGAAGCUCAUCCAUCACCACCCCCAUGCCCUUGACUCUGCUCUCUGUCCACAAAGUGGACCCAUUACUGGAGACUUCUUAGGCCUUCAGGGCUUCACUGUAUCUCCUCCAUGAAGAGGAGCGUGGACAUUUGAUGUUUUAACCUGAGAAGUUCUUGCUGCCUCGUCUCACAGCUGUUGGCUCCAACUAAUGGGCCCGCCUAGCCGGAGAAGUUAUUGAGUAUCUGUGUAAUUAAGAACCUACUGGAUGUCAUGUGGAAUAAAGAGAAGGAAGUUUGUGACAAAGAAGUGAAUGUGCUGGAAGAUUUUUUCAUAUUAUUUGAACAAAUUCUUUAUAUAACAAGGAUUUUAGCCUUUUACAAAAAAAAUACAUAUGUAUAUGUUCUUAACCAGCUUGUUGCUUAUUUUAAAAUUUUGUUUAUAAUUUGAUGCAUGGAAUUUUACAAAUUUUAUAAUGCAAACACUAUCAGGAUAAAAAAUAUUUUAUGCUUUUCAGUUAGAAUAUGUAAAUAUUCACAUUAUAUUCAAGAUAUUUGCUUUCCCUUAUAAAUAGCUGUUAGAGUAUUGUUUUCUGAGCUUCCUUUUCUUUCUCCACUUGUUUGAAAUGUUAUCUUUAUUAUAAGCUAUAUACAUACAAUUGAGUCUGUAAAAUAACCACAAAAUGAGAAAUACAGACAUUUUGAAAAUAUUUAGAGAAAACUGUGUAUAAUUCCAUUCUGAUAAAUGUGUAACUAUUCUUGAUAUGGGCAAUUUUCUAUGAGAACAUGAAUUUCCAAAGUUAAUUCAAAUAAAAAAUCUGAACAGAUCGUUAACCAUUUAAGAGUUUUUAAAAGCUGUUGAAUAAUUACCUAUUUGAUAAUAAAAUACCAUGCAUCACAAACUAUAGCAUUUUGAUACUAGCAUAAGAAGUAAAAAAGAAUAUAGAGGCUGAAAAGAAUAUUCAAGAUAAGCCAUAGACAAACCAUUAGACUCCCAAAGAACCCAAAACUACUGCUAGAAUCUCAGACACCCACUGAAACCCAGGCUCCCAACCUUAGGGCAAGAGCCCUCUG
rnacentral:lncRNA from 1 species